AUGGUGGAUCUGGGUUCAUGGUUCGCGGCAGGCAGAUAUGGUUUCCUCCUCCAACAUCUUAGUUGGACGGGGGUGCCAGAUCUGGAGUUCGAUGACGUGUCCGGGGUGUUGCCCCGGCCUGGUUCGUUCAACGGCAAUGGCUUCGUCUUUAUUGGCGAGCCACCUUGGAGGUCCGCAAAGCUGCAUAUCAGCGAUGGAGCCGUGUCGAGCUCGGGUGUGGAGGUGAUCCGUCAUGUUCUCCUUUGGUGGCUGCUAUGGUGGUGCCAUAGGCAGGUGACGGGCGUUGGUGUCAAGCUCAGAGGAUUCUUCAGUCUUGUUUGUAAUUUUACUUCUUGGCUGGUGUUCCUGUGUGCAAAGGCUAGCGUUCUGCUGUCUUUUCAGUUUUGUCAGGUCGGUAUGUACGUGACUUGUACUAUGAUCCAUAUGAUAUAA
rnacentral:rRNA from 1 species